rnacentral:ribozyme from 11 species
AGAAAGAGGAAGCAACAAAAACAACAGCAUGCACUGUGGAAGGAAAAUCGACAGAUAGCUCAGGGGGUCCCGAUCACCUUUUCUUUCUUUCAGUUUCUUUCUUUCUUUCUUUCUU